GUUCCUGUAGUUAAAUUGCCAUAACAGUGGUUUUUCAGGCCGCAAAUCCUGGUGAGAGGCCGGGCGGGAAUU
rnacentral:tRNA from 1 species